rnacentral:lncRNA from 1 species
AUUUGUUUCCUCUGCCUUUGGGGAACCGAGAGAGAGAGAGAGAGAGAGCGUCCGGAGAAGAGAAGCGGACAGGCAGAGGAAGAAAGAGGCAAUCGAUUUCUUUCCUUUAAAUAGCAAUGUCUAGGCAAUGUUUUUCGAAUUUGAAUUAUUUGUUUCUUCUGCCUUUGGGUAAGCAAGAGGGAGAGAGAGCGUCCGGAGAAGAGAAUCGGAGAGGCAGAGGAAGAAAGAGGCAAUCGAUUUCUUUCCUUUAAAUAGCAAUGUCUAGGCGAUGUUUUUUGAAUUUGAAGUAUUUUAUUCUUCUGCCUUUGGGUAACCAAGAGAGAGAGGGAGAGAGCGUCCGGAGAAGAGAAGCGGAGAGGCAGAGGAAGAAAGAGGCAAUCGAUUUCUUUCCUUCAAAUAGCAAUGUCUAGGCGAUGUUUUUUGAAUUUGAAUUAUUUAUUUCUUCUGCCUUUGGGUAACCAAGAGGGAGAGAGAGCGUCCGGAGAAGAGAAGCGGN